rnacentral:rRNA from 1 species
ACGCUGGCGGCAGGCCUAACACAUGCAAGUCGAGCGGUAGAGAGAAGCUUGCUUCUCUUGAGAGCGGCGGACGGGUGAGUAAUGCCUAGGAAUCUGCCUGGUAGUGGGGGAUAACGUUCGGAAACGGACGCUAAUACCGCAUACGUCCUACGGGAGAAAGCAGGGGACCUUCGGGCCUUGCGCUAUCAGAUGAGCCUAGGUCGGAUUAGCUAGUUGGUGAGGUAAUGGCUCACCAAGGCGACGAUCCGUAACUGGUCUGAGAGGAUGAUCAGUCACACUGGAACUGAGACACGGUCCAGACUCCUACGGGAGGCAGCAGUGGGGAAUAUUGGACAAUGGGCGAAAGCCUGAUCCAGCCAUGCCGCGUGUGUGAAGAAGGUCUUCGGAUUGUAAAGCACUUUAAGUUGGGAGGAAGGGCAUUAACCUAAUACGUUAGUGUUUUGACGUUACCGACAGAAUAAGCACCGGCUAACUCUGUGCCAGCAGCCGCGGUAAUACAGAGGGUGCAAGCGUUAAUCGGAAUUACUGGGCGUAAAGCGCGCGUAGGUGGUUUGUUAAGUUGGAUGUGAAGUCCCCGGGCUCAACCUGGGAACUGCAUUCAAAACUGACUGACUAGAGUAUGGUAGAGGGUGGUGGAAUUUCCUGUGCAGCGGUGAAAUGCGUAGAUAUAGGAAGGAACACCAGUGGCGAAGGCGACCACCUGGACUAAUACUGACACUGAGGUGCGAAAGCGUGGGGAGCAAAC